GCUGGGCGUGGUGGUGCAUGCCUGUAAUCCCAGGUACUUAGGAGGCUGAGGCAGGAGAAUUGCUUGAACCUGGGAGGCAGAGGUUGCAGUGAGCUGAGAUCAUGCCACUGCACUGCAGCCUGGGCAACAGAGCAAGACUCUGUCUCCA
rnacentral:SRP_RNA from 1 species